GUUUUUAAGGUGUAUGACACGUUACAUUUUCACUGUAAAGUUGAAAAAAUUAUUUUUCUAAAAAUU
rnacentral:tRNA from 1 species